AUCCUCUCUCAUAACCUCUCUUUUUCUCCGCCCAUGUUCUUCCUGCCCUUUCCCUCUUUUACUCUCUGUUUCUUCGUCCCACUGUCACUCUCCCCACCCCCACUUUUUUCUCGCUUUUUACUCAAAUUACGUUGCUAUGUUCUUCUCUUCGUCAAAGUAUGAAACUCUGAAUUUUUUUUUAUAUUUAAAUUUCAGUUCUUUGAGAUUACAACUCAGUUCUUGGCGUUGGAUUAAAUCCAAAGCAAAUCCAACUAGGUAUUCCUCCUUGAAGCAAAGAGGGAAAUCUGGGCUGUGGGUUCGUUGGGCUUCAUAAGAGGGAGAGAAAUCAAUUUGAAGCAAAGAGGAAGUUGGGUUCGUGAGACGAAGGAGAUCGGCGAGACGGCAAGAUUUGGUGAUGGGUUUGCGGGAUGAUGGAGAUCAGCGAGACGACAGGAUUUGGCGACUGGAUUUGGCGAUGCAUGCUUGCAGAUCGUAAACAAUGAAGAUAUUAGAGAGCCAGGAUUAGCAAUUCCAUCCUUUUUGGGGGUCCUAGCUAAGACGAGCUUUGGUGCAGAGAUAUUAACAUUAUUUUCGGGAGUCCAUUGAGUGAGGAUAUACGACAUUAACCUGGAGAAACUUCAGACCCAGCUUCAAAGACACCAAUGUUUUGCACAUGUAAAGGCUUCUUGGAAACUCAAAAGGAAGGAGUGUUAAAUUUUGCUUGCGCACGACUCCAAAAGAGCGCAGGACUCCAAAAGGGACAUGUAUGUUUGUCACUUAAUACUAUGGUUUAGUAGUAUAUUUUUCUACUUGUAAGUAGGAGAUCUUACGUUCGAGCACCGUGGAUAACGGCCUUUAUACUCUCAUAGUAUCAAAAGAAACAAAAGAAAAAAGCAAAUAUGCUCAAGCUCCUCUCAAUGAGGCUGAAAUAAAAAGAUCUAAGCUAGAUCACAUUGGACAACUUCUUUCCAAUCCUACAGAGUUUCAAAAA